rnacentral:rRNA from 1 species
AACGAACGCUGGCGGCGUGCCUAACACAUGCAAGUCGUGCGAGAAAGUUCCUUCGGGAGCGAGUAAAGCGGCGCACGGGUGAGUAACACGUAGGUAACCUGCCCCCCAGUCUGGAACAACUAGAGGAAACUCUAGCUAAUGCCGGAUGAGACCACGAUCCCUUCGGGGGUUGCGGCCAAAGAUGGCAUCUACUUGUAAGCUAUCGCUGAGGGAUGGGCCUGCGGGCCAUUAGCUUGUUGGUGAGGUAACGGCUCACCAAGGCUGUGAUGGCUAGCUGGUCUGAGAGGAUGACCAGCCACACUGGGACUGAGACACGGCCCAGACUCCUACGGGAGGCAGCAGUGGGAAUAUUGCGCAAUGGGCGAAGCCUGACGCAGCGACGCCGCGUGGGUGAUGAAGGCC